GUGGUACUGGCCUGUACCACUUUGAGCCCCGUUUUAUAAAGCAGGGCAUUUCAUGGAGAUAAGAAAUGCAUAGGAGCCCCUGUCAUGACACAGAGGAUGUUAGCAGAGGCUAAUGGGAGUCAGCCACAGCAGAUGGUGUGAAUUGGAGAAGCUCUCUCUCGAAGCAUACAGUCUGAGCUGAAGAAGAGAAUCACAACAAUACAUGGUAUGAAUUAGAGAAGAGAGUCACGGGACAUAGUGUGAACUGGAGAAGAGAGUCACAGAGCAAGGUGUGAACUGGAAAGGGGUCACAGCACGUGUAUGAAUUGGAGAAGAGCGUCACAGCACGGGGUUAAACUGGAGUUUCACGUAUUUACCUGCUGAGGAAAAGGAAACAGACUUGAGAACUGAAUCAUCACACAGUCCAUUCAAAUCCUGAACGCACACAUUUAAAUCCAGCUUAUGUAACACUAAGCAGGGUGGAAGUAGCUGAAGACUUGUAUCCUGUGGACUUAAUCCAAAGCCAACCCAGCAGUGUAAGCAAAAGAAGACAUUAUUGAAGCCACACUCCACAUGCUUUCAGGGAGAGGAGAGGAUUGUGGAAGAGCACUCUGCCAUGAGCAUGCC
rnacentral:lncRNA from 1 species